GGCGUUGAGAUGGUUCAGGGCCCUGUUCAAACUCCAGCACUGACCAUUCACCGGCGGAAGCGGCGGCGCAGGAGGCGGCGGCGGCCCAGCGGGGGCACACAGCAGGCUCUGUUACCAGCUCCAGCAGUGGCGGCCAGCGAGAAGAGAAUAUGAAACUGGUGUCAAAAUGACAUCCAGAUUUGGGAAAACAUACAGUAGGAAAGGUGGAAAUGGCAGUUCAAAAUUCGAUGAAGUCUUUUCCAACAAACGGACUACCCUUAGCACAAA
rnacentral:lncRNA from 1 species